CGGUUCGAGUCCGCUAACCUCCACUGACCCCCUUUAUGAACUCUUAGUGAGUUCCGUUGCGAGAUGUGAUUUGGAAAAUUCGGCUGAUCGAACCUAGCUUCUUAUCAUUCCAUUUCCAAGUAAUUCAAGAAUAACUAUUUGGAUACGGUUGACAGGACGCUGGGCUCAUUGGAAUUAAACACAUUCCAAUUAUGUUCGGCA
rnacentral:misc_RNA from 1 species